rnacentral:rRNA from 1 species
UACGGAGGGGGCUAGUGUUGUUCGGAAUUACUGGGCGUAAAGCGCGCGUAGGCGGCUUUGUAAGUUAGAGGUGAAAGCCCGGAGCUCAACUCCGGAAUUGCCUUUAAGACUGCAUCGCUAGAAUCAUGGAGAGGUUAGUGGAAUUCCGAGUGUAGAGGUGAAAUUCGUAGAUAUUCGGAAGAACACCAGUGGCGAAGGCGACUAACUGGACAUGUAUUGACGCUGAGGUGCGAAAGCGUGGGGAGCAAACAGGG